rnacentral:tRNA from 1 species
GCCUGGGUGGCUCAGUCGGUUAAGCGUCUGACUUAGGCUCAGGUCAUGAUCUCACAGUUUGUGAGUUUGAGCCCCAUGUCAGGCU